GAUUUAAGUUUGAUUGCUUGAAAGUGUUUCUUGUUUCCUAAUUAUGGAAUUACUGAAAGUUUCUGGUUAUUGAUUCUUAUUUAGUGGAUUUAGGUUUGAUUGCCUGAAAGUAUUUCCUGUUUUUUUAUUAUUGUUAUUGCUGAAAAUGUUUAGUUAUUGAUUCUUGUUUAGUGGAUUUAGGCUUGAUUUCUUGAAAGUGUUUCCUGUUUCCUGAUUAUGGAAUUACUAAAAGUGCAUGAUUAUUGGUUCUUGUUUAGUUGAUUUAGGUUUGAUUUUCUGAAAGUGUUUUCUGUUUCCUGAUUAUUGUUAUUGCUAAAAGUGCCUGGUUAUUGAUUCUUGUUUAUAGAAUUGCCAUAUUGUUUUCUUCGUGGAUUGUUGAUAGGUUUGCGCCGAACAACGCAUGUACUUAGGAGAUGUCCAAUAUCAUCAAGAUAAUGUACAACCAUCUUUAGCCCAGCUACAAGAAGAUCCGAACUGAGAUCAGAGAGCGUGAUUUCAGAAAUGGACAGUAAUUUUUUUUAGUUUCAAACCUUUUUAGCUAGUUUAUAUCUUCUAUUUUGAUGAACUAGUUUUAAAGUUUCUAUGUGCAGCUACACUUUAUAUGGGACGCUGAGUACAAUCUUACCAUCAGGAAGAUAUUCAACCAUAAAAUGGUUCAGCGGCUAUAGCAAAUGUUGGAGGAUGUUCGUGAGGGGCGAGACUACCUGAUUCCUAGCUCUGAGCAAAAAUAAAGAAGGCUUUGUUUGUUCAUUGGAAGAUCGAUGAAGGGAUCGGCAUCGGUGUAUCACCAACAGAGCUAACAGCGCAUCGGCCAGGUCGUCUAAGUAUACCAACGACUCAGUGACCAUCAUGAAGGUUAAGGCCAGACUGUCGAAUUCGUUGGAUCACGAGGGGACAUUGGCGGAGAUGUUCAGGUAUACCCACAUGUUGAAAGAGAACAAAACGAGAUUUGCUUAUCAACGGUCUCAGAACCAUUAUAAUCCUACUCGCAGAGACUAGAGGCUGCAACUCAGCAAUCUCAGCAAAGUGGGGAGGACGCCGUUGAUGGCUCUGCUACUUCAGUCGUCGAUCCCAAUGCGGUUUGGCAUGAGACCGCCUCAGCACCGUAUAAGAACCACAUACACGGGCUAGGAUCAUUCUUCGCCAGCAGCCUCCGUACCUGCACGUUGAGACUGUCAUCAGGCUUUGCCACCAGUUGAGCCGUCAAGCCCGAGGAAGGCGUGGAUUUGAGGCUGAAGGUGUAGGAACUCCAACACAACUUUCACCAGUAGACUCAUAAGCUGAACGAUCAUCGGAAGAUGUAUUAGGAGAUCAUCACAUUCGUGACGGAUACGGAUGACCUUAGUCUGGAGUGGAGGGAGCAACUGGAGCGGCUUUAGUGGAUGGAGGCUCAGAUGGAGGUGUACCAUGCUCAGAUGCGUGCCACUAGCAUCAUCCCUGCUGGUGGCAACGGUCCUGCUGGUGACACACAGACAUCACUGCCUUCUACACCGCCUCCUCAGGGCCACGAGACCGACGAUGACGACGAUAACGAUGACGACAAUGACGAGGACGAGGACUACCUGAAUCUUUAGUUAUUAGUGUAUCGUUUUUUUGUUUCAUUGUAUUUAUUUGAUGUACUUGACUAUUAAU